rnacentral:pre_miRNA from 1 species
CAAAUACUCCCUCCGUCCGGAAAUACUUGUCAUCAAAAUGGAUAAAAGGAAAUGUAUCUAGACGUAUUUUAGUUUUAGAUACAUCUCUUUUUGUCCAUUUUGAUGACAAGUAUUUUCGGACGGAGGGAGUAGAAA